rnacentral:lncRNA from 1 species
GGAGAAAUUACAGCUACCUUAAGUGGCUACGGUGAUUAUAAAAAGAGGGCUUUAAAUGUAUGCAGCACAGCGGGAGAGCACUAGAAUCACCUGGAGUGUCUGAAGCCCAGGGUUGAAUGCUUUGUACCACAAAACAAAAGCAAAAAUCUUAUAUACUUUUGUAAAGUUUAUGCAUCUCUGCCCCACCUCCAAGAUUUUAUUAUGGGAUUUUCAAAUACCCAAACAAACUUAAAAAAAAUGUUUAUAUUGGACACCUGUAUAAUCACCACUUGGAUUAUCCAUUAACAUAUUACUAUGCCUGAGUUAUACAUUUGUCUCUGUGUCCACUAGUUAUUUGUGUGCAUUUCAAAAUAAGUUCCAUGCUGGAUGUGAUGGUCCACACCUGUAAUGGCAGCAUUCUGGAGACUGAAGUAGGGGAUCAAGGGCUUGAAGCUAGGGACUGGAGAAAUGGCUCAGCAGUUAAGAGCACUUGUUCAUCAGUCAUGAUGGGUUCAGAUUCCUGCACCCACAUCCUGAACCUCAGAAACCUGUUAACUUAGGCUGCAGGACCCUCUUCUGGUCUACAAGGGUGUUCUCAUGUACAUAUACACAUUGUUCCUCCUACACACACACACACAAAUCUUAAAAAGAGUUUGGCCAAGCAUAGUGGCACAUACCUCUAAUCCCAGCUUUCAGGAGGCAGGGUAGGCAGAUCUCCGAAUUCUGAGUUCCAGGCUAGCCAAGGGCUUCAUAGUGAGAUCCUGUCUCAAAACAAAACAAACAAACAAACAAAAACAGAAAUGAGAGAAAGAGGCCUUCAAAUCCAGCCUGGGAAAGACCCUGUCUCAGUAACACAAAGAACAAAUUACAGACAUCAGGAUAAUUCUCCCCUAAAUAUUAGAAAAUGCAUUUCAUAAUACUUAACUGUCUUAACUGGCCUAGUUAAAGUUUCUAUUGCUGUGAUAAAACGCCAUGACUAAAAGCAACUUGGGGAGGAGAGGAUUGAUUUAACUUGUUCUUCCACAUCGCUGUUUAUCACUAAAGAAAGUCAGGGCAAGAACCUAGAGGCAGGAGUUGAUGCAGAGAUUAUAGAUGGUGCUACUUACUGGCUUGCUCAUAAUGGCUUGCUUGGCCUGCUUUCUUAUAAAAUUCAGGACCACCAGUGCAGGGAUGGCACCACCCACAAUGGGCUGUGCUCUUCACUAUCACAAGUUAAGAAAAUGUUCUACAGCUAGGUCUUAGGAUGGCAUUUUCUCAAUUGAGGUUCUCUCCUUUCAGAAGAGUCUAGUUUGUGUCAAGUUGACAUUAAAUUAGCCAGCAUAUAAACUAUAGAGUUAUUUGCAGCUAUUUUCCUUGUGUGUGUGUGUAAAAUGAAAUAAUGAAAUACACUGAACUUUUUGUUGCUGUUUUCUUAGAAAUAUUUUUCAUACACUAUAUUUUGAUCAUGUUUCCCCUCCCCCCAACUCCUUCCAUAUCCUCCCAACCUUCUACCCAUUCAACUUCAUGUUUCUUUCUCUCCCUUCGUUGGGGGGAGGGGGUAGAAGCAAAAAACGGAAAAUCGAAACUUUAAAAAAAUCAGUAAAGCACACACAUACAAACAAACAAAAGUGGAGUGUGAUUGAUUAUACCCAGUGACACUUUAAUUAAAAGAACUAAUUUUCCCUUUCCCAGCACUAGUCAAUUGCAAAUAGCUUCUUUGUUGGAAAUAAGACUUUGUAUCUACUUACUCAUUUCAGGAAAUUUAUAGAUAUUAAAGGGCACAUUUACUGAGUUUUCACAAGUUUUCACUUAUAAAUAUUCAUAUCUAAAAAUUAGGAUUGGGUUCUUGGGGGCUAACUAAAACAGAAUACUUGCUAAAUUUGUAUGAGCCCCCAAGGUCUUCAUCCCUGCAAAAUAAAAGUCAAAAGCAGAGCUGUUGUUGUUUCAAGUUCUUACUUGCACAACUAAAAUUAGUAUAAAAUAUCUUCCUCCUUGAGAAUUGUACAAGCAGGCCUGUGUCAGUGGUCUGGGAUUGGAUCAAGUCCUAUCUAAGGGUUUGGGUUAGGAUUUAAGCUUGGGGCCAAGUAUGGAAGAGCUUCUAGAUUAAGUUACCCAUGGUGGCCAUAGAGUAGAUGAGGUCAGAGAGCCUGCCUGGUCUUAGUUACAGAACUUCAGCAAAUGACCCUCAGAAGAUGGGCAGUAAGUAGCCUGGGAAGGUGCUUGGUUUUCAUUUAUUUCAAUUUUCGUAUUUCUUGGCUUCAUUUUCACCUUGGCACUUUAGUGAACAUUCUUGUUAGUCUAUUACCCAUGUCCACCCCAGAAUGUUUGCUCCUGAGAGUUGACAUCUCUGACUUACUCUGAGAGGUGUCCAGUGCAUGAUCUGCAUUCAGGACAUAGAGAACAACUCAUUGCUUCAUUUACUAGACAGAAAGGUAGGCAGGGAGGGGAAGUGACUUGGACUUUUGAGGGGAAAUGGGGCUCCUUUAAUCCUAUCCUUCAGCCCUGCUAUUCCAGUUCUUACCUGCAGGCACCAAUGCAGCAGAGAACAGGGAGCUCCCACUUAUCUUUCUCUUGGUUCCUUUUUUUCUAUUUUAUUUUUCUUCCAAGAUGGCUCUUGAUUGUGCUAAUGGGGUAGGGAGCUCUGAAAAGGACCAGGAGUCAUAGGUUAACUGUAAAUAAGAAAAAUUUCAAAAAAAUUAAAAAAACAAAAAACCCCAAAACAAAACAAACAAACAAACAAACAAACAAAAAACCG